CUCACACACACACACACACACACACUGGUGUGUUAGACUGCCUUGCCCUCCCUCACACUGAGCAUGACAGCUAUGAAGGUGCAGCGUACACCAUGGCACACCAGCUCUCAGGGGUGAGCGCGGAUAACUCAGCUGCCGCCAUUUCUACUGUGAUCUCGAGGAACCAAGGAUCAGACUCACUGCGUGGCCACUUUACACCACAUCUGCAUCUGUCCUCUCAGUCCAGAUGAGCAUCAAAUUCUGACGAGCAGAAAGAGCAGGAGCUCGGAUUGCCAUGGAUGCAGAGGAGGGAGGAGGAAAACAGCAAUGCCAGAGGCGGUGAGCGAGACUCCAGAGUGGGAAGCGGCCCCCUUGUCUGUGGCCACAGUGUGAAGG
rnacentral:lncRNA from 1 species